rnacentral:lncRNA from 1 species
GCGGAGUCCGAUUGGCGGAUCUCAACGUCCUCCACCGUGGGAUCGGAUUCGGAGAUUUGCAAGAAGGAUCGGAAUCGGGGGGAGUCGAGGAGGAUGGUGGGGAGGUCGGACGGUAGCUUGUGGGCGGUGGAGGAGGUGGCGAAGGCGACGGAGGGUNUAUGUUUCCUUAAAAGGGACACAUGCUUCGCUGUCGACGUGGACAUUUAGUUUGUGAUGAUGCUUGUCAUCAUCUCUCGACGAUCUCUUUUGUCUUUGAUUUGUUUGACUCAAAGUAUAUGUAUCAGGUUUAGGUUUUAUGUCUCGAUGAGCGUGACCGCUCAAUUCAGAUGAUACAUGUCUUUGAGCUUUGUUUUGUAGAUGGACGUCAUCCUCGUGGAGAUCGAGUCGUGCUGCCCAUCCCGAGAUUGAGCGCUGCGGGAAUGGAGCUAGGACCAGGCACCUUUCGCGUCGUCGGCCUCGGACACCGAGACGUUUUGUCUCCAUUGUUGACCCGCACUCUUGAUGACAUUUUUGUUCAUCAAGAGUCACCCAUGGCGGGUUUGUUGUAGCCAGGUGGGUGAUUCAGAUGUCUUCCCUCGUUCUCAUCAAUCUUUUCGUACUUCAUUUGAGAUGGCGAUAGCUAGUGAUGUGAUAGUACGAGAUGUGAUUGGUUGACAUCCUUUACAGGUUAGACUGGAUUAGGUUAGCCCUGACAUUCGUAUGGGCAGGGGCCCUGACACUUAUGUGGGCAAGGACGGGGCAAUGCUGAUAGCCCGAGAUAGGUGUGAUUGACCAGGCACCUCUCGUUCAGGUUGACCGUACUCGCUGUGGUUGCGCUUUCGUGUUUCGGACUGAGGCCUCGCCGUGAGCACCCGCGAUGGGUUGGCUCAUACGUCGCAUAGAGACAGCUCGAGUUUGUCCGAGACUUUUCGGUUUCAGUUCUUUAGCUGAGAUUGACCAGAUUGUUGGUUGUUCAUUGUACGGGAGCCAUGUUAGUCUGCGGUUUUUCCGCUAUGCCCAGGUGGCAGUUGGGGCUGCCGUGGGUUGUCAGGCCUUGUCAGAUUUGCGAUGACAUUUUUAAGUGAGCCGUGGAGUCGCGCUCACAUUGAUUUUAGAUUUGAUGGACCCUAUGAACGAUACUACUAUGACGCUGUCAUGUUUUAAUACGUUGCCGGGUAUCCCGAUUUAGUCCAUCAAAUUUAUCCACUGCUAAGGUUAGCACAAAAGAGGAUUCAGUUUAGGGUCAGGUUGUACAUGUAAAUUCUAAAUGAUUAGUACAAGAGUUAUGACUAAAAUAGGUCCUAUAGUAGUGCUAGUAGUUUGGUGUUGUACUAAUGGCUUUGACUUUUUAGUAUGUACAGCUGCUAAUGCCAUGAAUCCUUAUUUGGAUACAUUUGGGUGGAAUCAGCGAUUAGGGGUCGUCGCUCCUGUAGGGUUUCGUUUCCUUGUGGACGACCUAGUUAGGCGUUUGGAGGUUCCGGUCUUUAGUACGAGGGCGGUUUGAGAUGUGUAUUUUAGGCUUUUACUCGUGACUAAGACGGAGUUUUUGUCGUCGUCUCUUCUCUUAUUAAGGCUAGUUCUUUUGGUGGUGGUUUUGGUCGUUCAUUCCCGAAGCACCUAAAGAGAGCUUCAGGGCUUAGGUUGCUUGGUUCAGAGCAGCUUUAGGAUGCGAGGAUGCAGCUCUUCCUUGGCUUUGCGGCUGCCAGCUGCGACCUUUAGUCACUUUUGUCGUGGAGCUCGAGCUUAAGUUACUUCGAACUUCAUCUCUUCUUUAGGUACCUCCUUACUCUCUAUGGGUGGAGUUGGUCGCUGAGGUUAAGGUCGUGCCGCAGCUCUUGCCGCUUUUGUAAGGGAGCGGGCCGGAGGAGCGCUAUGAUGCCGCUGCGUGCAUACGAGCCUGCCGAGGCGCCGCGCUACAGCUGCUGCUUUACGAGGUGUGCUUGGGAGAAACGAGUGUUAGCCGAUCUCUCUCUCCUCUUCUUUUAAUUAAUUCCUCCGCCUCCAACGUUGGGAGAUUUACCUAUUCGUACGUACGUACGUACGUACCCCCGUGUACAGUAGUAUAUAUAUACAUAUUCCUAUGAUGUGUGUAGUAACUUUUGUUGAACCUUCAUGCCUCCGGAGGAACGAUGGAUAUCAUAUGGUCGGAUGGAGUAUAUAUAUAUAUAUAUAUAUAUAACGGCGGAUUUGUCGGCGUGCCCGGGGAACGAGACAUCCGGGGCAUGACAAUGUGGCUUCUAAAUUGACGAUCGAUUCCGUUAGACUUGAUCUACACUAUUGAAAGUAUUUGGAAACUAAAUAAAUUUUAUAAUUUUUCGAUAUCAUAUACCUAUCAAACGAGUAGUCUAAAAAUAAACGGCUGAAAAUAAAAAUCUCAUAAAAAAUGAUGAUAAAAUACUUGAAUUUAAGAUCAGAGGUACUAAUUUUACUAUAAAUAGUGAAAAAAAUUUUAUAAAAAUUCCAUCAGAUUUGGAUUGUUUUGCACCGUUAAAUUCAAAAACGUAUCACAUCUACCAUUAAAAUUGUCAAUUUUGAGACUUUUGAUCACUAGCCAAAUGAUGCCGAAAAAUUAUGAAAUUUAGUUUCCAAAUACUUUUAAUAGGGUAGAACAAGUCUAACGGAGCCGAUUGUCGAUUUGGAAGCCGCAAUAUUGAAAACAACUUGGUAGCACGAAGGCCUCCGUGCUACCGAUAGUAUACCAGCCUAGCUCUCUCUCUCUCUCUCUAUAUAUAUAUAUAUGUGUGUGUGUCUGUGUGUGUGUGUGUGUGUGUGUGAUUGCUUUGCUCAUGAAAGAACUUGGCAUUGUUAAUUUGGCAACAUUGUUAUACUUUUGCUGGGAAGUGACUUAUAUAAUUAGGAGAAAGUCACCUACAGGGCAAAUAUGGUACGCUGAUCCAGAUGAUUGAUCAUAAUUGUUAUCUAUCUAAUAUUAUAAAUUUCAUCAGUAAAUUAAAAAGGAAUAUGCUAAUUAAAUAAAAUAUUUAUACAUUUAGACAUGACUUAUUAAUAAGUCAAAUUUUAAAUAUAAUACUUUUUUAGAAAGAGGCACGGAGCAUAUUUGAGAUUUGCCAAAGAUAGAUUGGUUCUAACUUCCUAUGUCUUUAUCCUUACGAGCCUUUAUCCUUACAAGUCAUCGUGACAAAGCUUGUUCAAAAUCCAAAUUAAAAAAAGAAAAGAAACAAAAAAAAAAAAAACCCACUAAUUGCACACUCCAUUCCUAACAAUUAACAACCAAUAUUUAAAAAUUAAACCCACCAGCGACUCAAAAAUAUUACUAAACUAAGAAUCACUGUUUCAACCUUGAUAAUACUUACUGACCGUCCCUAGAGCUAGGGCUGGCAAACGAGCGAGCCGGCUCGCGUUCGACUCGUGUUCGGCUCGAUAUUCGGCUCGCUCGAGCUCGACUCGAAAUUAAAUGAGCCGAGCUUGAACAAAAUAAAAGGCUCGAAAUUUAUUUCAAGCCGAGCUUGAAUAUUACUCGGCUCGUUCGAAUUAGGCUCGAAAAGCUCGAAAAGCUCGAAAAUAUAUAUAUAUAGGCUGGGACUACUAUACUCUUAUAAGUAUAGACCCCUUUGUACUCAUAAAUUUUUAACCGUUGAUUGAUGAGAUGUGUGGUUAGGAUGAUGGUGGUCUCCACUUAGAAUGAUAGUGGUCCCCUAGGGUUGAGUGGGUAGUUGGUUAAAUAGUAUGAUCUAACGGAUGAAAAUGAUUAAUGGAAUAAAUCUAAGGGUCGAAAACUUAUGCCACCGUUUGGUUGGGGGUUAAGGGGUGGAAUAACCCCUUAACCCCCAAUUUAUACCCAAACACCACUCUUUUGGGGUGGGGUUAGUAAACCCCACCCCAAACCGGGUUAGUGAGGUUUACGAACCCCACUCCCCCUCCCAACUUUAACCCCGCACGCAUCCCGAGCCCUCACUUUUUUCUUCUUUAUCAAUCAUUAACCCCACUCCCCUCCCAAUUUUAACCCCGCACGCAUCCCGAGCUUUCACCUUUUUCUUCUUUAUCAAUCAUUAUCUUCUUAUCCCACCUACUCCAACCAAACACUUUUUUUCACUAUCUUAGACUAACUCCAACCUCCAACCAAACACAAAAAAAUUUUAACACCAUAUAACCCUGAACUUAAGCCUAUCCCUGGAAUAGCUACUUUUUCUUAACCCCGAACCAAACGGGGGCUAUGAUAUAUACAUAUAUAUAUACAUAUACAUAUAUAUGUAUAUACAUAUAUAUAUGUAUAUAUAUAUAUAUCUCAGACCAAUGAUAUAAAAAUACUCAUAACCGAGGAAAUAUGAGUAUUCAAAAGCUGGGAAUCUAAAUAAGGUAAUUAGUAAAAGUAGGCAAUCUAGUAUGAUAAAUUGGUUGAUGGGUUAAUUGGGAUCUCCUGGUGAAAGUAAAAUUCAUCCCUGGCGGUAGUAGGAUUGGUGUGUAGGGUAGUUAGUAUACUCAUAUUCCCCCAGAUAUGAGUAUUCUCAUAUCAUCGGAGUCGGAUACAUAUAUCUCUACACAUAUUCUCUGAUAUAUAUAUCUCAGGCCGAUGAUAUGAAAAUAUUCAUAACCGAGGAAAUAUGNUUAUAGUAGUAGUGAUCAGCAGGAGAGUAGUGGCGCGAAUCUUGUCCUGCUCAGCGGGUGGUCCAUUUUAUUUUAUUUGAAAAAAUUAUAACACUAAUAAUCUCAUAAUAUUGAAUAAUAUAAAAGCAAGUAAGAGACUUAUAUAGUUUAUUUGUGACUUGUAACUAUUAAAUUAGUAAAUAAAUUUUAUUAUGUCAGGCUUUUUAUUUGAAUAAUUAUUUAAUACUUUUUAUUUGAAUAAUUAUUAUUUAAUACUUUAAAUUUAUUUUUUAAUAAAUUUAGGUUGGCUAUGGGUAACGUGUUGGGACCGCAAGAAGCUUUUGGAAACAAAGAAUUGUCCGAGGAUAGGUAGAGAAUCCGGCAAAUGCAAGUAGGGCUGGCAAACGAGCGAGCCGGCUCGCGUUCGACUCGUGUUCGGCUCGAUAUUUGGCUCGCUCGAGCUCGGCUCGUUUCCACCCCUAAANUAAGCUCGCUCGAGCUCGGCUCGUUUCCACCCCUAAAUGCAAGUGGGAGAGAGAGAGACUAGAGAGAUAACAAAUUUUUUUUUUUUUUUUUAAAAAAAUCUAUGAUAUUGAUAGACCUCUCUUUCAUGCGUUUUCACGUGGAUCCGCCAAGGCGCAAUUUCCAAAUGUUCAUGUCAUAGAUCUCGACGUGGAGAUGCAUACAUAUUAAUAUUGAAGAAUAAUGCUUUGGCCCACAAUUUGUAUUCCACUACAUUAUUAAUAUAUAUAUAAACAUAAACUAGUACUCACAGGUAUUAGUGUAAAACGGGCCGGGUAGCACGUCGGCCGCCUGGCCCGUCACGACCUAGCAUGGCACGGCUGCUGUCGCAUUCGCGCCGGGCCGGUUCGACCCGGCUUUUCGGGCUGUGCUGGGCUGAACAUUCGUGGUCCAAAGGCCAAGCACGGUACGGACCAGUGUCAGGCCUGGACAUGAUGGACAGGAAGGUGGGCCGGGUGGCCUGCAUGGUGUGGGCCGUUUCUACUGGGCCGGCGAGGCCCAGGUAUUAAUAAGGGGAAUUAGGCCUGUAGGCCUUUUAGGCCUGCCUUAGACAGGCCUAUUUGGCCAGGCUUUAUUAAGCCUAUACAAAUCUUAGGCCGGGCUCCUAGGAGCCUAGGAACCAGGCCUUAACCCAAGUCAAAAGAUCUGCUAAGUCCAAGGGUUUGCGAGACCCUUGGAUGGUUGCCCAACAGCUGUUGAGCCGUUGAAAUUUUUUUUUUUGAAAAAAAAAAAAUACUUUUUUGGCUUUUGAAAGAAUAAAAAAAUAAAAAAAGACAUCUUUUUGGUUAAAAUGACUGAAAUGGCAACACUAACAUUUAAAAAUUGACCGUUAGAGAGGGCAUUUUGGACAAACACUAUUUUUUUAUAUUUAAAAAAAUUAAUUUUUUUACAUCUAUAAAUACUCUUAUAAAUCUCCAAAUUCAUCACAACAAACAUGCUUCAUUCAUUUUCUUCUACAAACACUAAUUCUCUCUCAAACUUUCAAACGACCACUAAUUCUUUCUCUAAUGUAAUGAAGAAAAAAUUAUGUUCGAUUUUUUUUUUUUUUCCUAUUGUUUACUAGCUGGCUGUGUAAACCAUGCCACCUUAUUUUCUUAAUAUAUAUUUUUAAUUUUUAAUUUUUUUAACUUUCCUCAAAUGUAACUAUGUAAUAUGAUUAAUUCAAAAUCUAUAUAUUUUUCGCCAUUACUUUUUUUGAGAAUAUCAAAUUCUUUUCAAAUAAUAAAAAAAUAUGAAAAAAAUAAUAUCAAUUUUAUAUUAAAGUUGGUUAUUAGAUCAAAGAGAUGGAAGUUAAAAAAUUUAUAUCAAAAAUCUAUAUAAUUGANUGGAUCAAACAAAUGUAAAUUAAAAUAUUUAUAUUAAAAAUCUAUAAAAGUGAAAGUGAAAAUUAUUUAUCUCUAAGUUCUAAAUUUUAUAUAAUAUUAAAAAUUUAAAUUUAUUGUUAGUAUUAACUUAUAAUUUAAAAAUUAGUUGUCUCUAUUUCUAAAAAAAUAUUUUUUUUUAAAAAAAAUAUAAAAGAGAUAGUUGGGAAGGAAUUUAAAAAAACUUUUUACUAGACUAGCAUGAAGCCCGGCCCGGCCUGGCCCGGCCUGGCCUGUGCCGGGUGGGCCUGGGAGCCGGGCCGGGCCUUCUUCUCUGAGAAAAUAUGCCAGCACGACCCAAUCCGAUUUUAUAACCGGGUCAGGCCCGGCCGACCCUUGACCUGAAUCGGCCCGAGUAAUAUGGGCCAUGACAGCUCAACGAGGCCCACAUUACACCCCUACCCAUAGGUAGGGGGUUUAAAAUUUCAAUUUCUCAUAAUACAAAUUUUACUAUAUUAUUGAUGUGUUAUUAUUUUUACAUAAAAAAUAUAAAAUAUAAAAUUAAUCAUAAUUUUUAGAAUUUAAUUAUUAUGUUUAAGAGUCACGAACUCACCACAUCAACAAUAGCACGGGAACCAUAAUGUGGAAACUCCACUGAUUUAAGCAAAUAUAACUGUGAACCCCUCCGUACGGUAGUCACUUCCAGAAACAAGGGGUUGAUUGAAGCGAACUUCUUACUGAGCCCCUCUAACAAAUGAAAAUAAUGCUUUACAUCCGAGCAAACAGUGGAACGCCAUUCAUUUUUGGCUAUUCUAUUUAGGAAAAACUGGUACCUUCUUUAAAUGUAAUUGUAGUUAUAAUUAACUCGAUCACCGUCACAGCAAUACGAGUGUAAUUGUUCUAUCAAUACAGCAUUAUUUUCAUUUGUUCAGAGAAAUGCAAAAGGCUCAAUCACAUUUGCGGCCAAGUUGCACAUAGAUAAAGCUAUAGCUUCGAUUGUAAUCUCGAGAACGCGACUUGUACCAAAUCCUUCCUCAAUGUCUUCCCUGAAGCAUUCUUAGGUAUUGAUUCAACGAAAAUGGCACGGCGAAUCUUUUUGUAUGGUGCAACCUGCAACAUUAUGAGGAAGAUAUUGGAUCUUGCGCCUCGAGCUCUUGUGAGGAGGAGCUUAACUGAAUUAAGUUGGACUACACAUCAAAUAUGAAUAUACAUAAACGACAGGUAUUCAUAUACCUGUUGAGAUACAAAUUCCGUGACUUGUGCCUCAUUCAGCGUGCUGUUGGGUUGUCUUACAACAAAGGCUAUGGGGACUUGACCUGCAUUUUCAUCCGGAUAUCUGCCAAAAAAAGCAAUUAGAGAACUUGGUACUUGUUUGGCUCUUUUCUAAAAUUUUGUUUUGGUUUUUCUUUAAGUUCUGUAUCUGUAAAAGCAUCUGAUAUGAGACUAUUUGGUUUUCUUUUCUUUUUCUUUUUUUUGAGAGAGAAAGAUAGCAUGCUAUCCGUUUCGUUUAUUUUAUUUAGAAAUAAACUUAGCUGAAAAUGUGAAUCAACUAGGAUUCGAACUUAGAUCUCGGGUACCAACCAUCAAGCCCUUUUGCCAUUUGCACUAGGGACGGUCGGUCUAUUUGGUUUUCUUAUUGUUUCUUUAAUUUGAAACCCAUCUCACAAUAAAAAAGAAAAAAAAAUAGUACUAUACAUGUUUUUGUCUAUUUGUUGUCAAAAUAAAAACACGUAUAUAUAGAGCAUGUAGACAAUCACACAAAUAGAGGGGGAAAAAAAGAAAAUUGUAAAUAAUGAUAAACUUGCAUUUAAGGAUUGGUGGGUGAACCUACAAUUUAUCUUUAAUUAAAAAGCUUGUCUAUUUUUUUUGCCUAGUGUACUCACGGAAUAACUGCAGCCUCAGUGAUUUCUGGGUGAGUUUGAAGUAAGUGCUCGAGUUCUGCAGGGGGAACCUGCACCAAAGUAAUAUCUCAAGAAUAUACGACAAAAUUUAAAUGCAAAGCAAAAUAUUCCAUGAACUAUGCUUGAAUCAAUAGAUUAGUAGGACUAAGAAAAUCAACUGAUCUACUUAGCAUAGCAGUUUCCCAGAUCUGUAAUCAAAAGUUAGCAUAUAGCCACUUGAGAACUUGUAAUUAAUGGUAAGUAAUACAGUAGGCGCAUUUUAUGCAUUGCAGAUACAUCCUUUCAAGAUCAUAGGUGAUUUAGCAUUCUUAAAAGGUUGUUCUAGUCAUCUGAUCAACAAAUUCAGAAUAUUAUACGAGCUCCUGAAAUAAGCCCUGCAGUCGAUAAGCCUCAUGAUGGAAAUACAGAACCAGUUCUAAUUUACAGGUCAUAAGCAGUCAACGAACCUCAUGUAAAGCUUAAUCAUCUAGUAAACUAGAAAACCUUGAAACUGGGUUAUAUAGCAUCAGUUUGGUACGUGAUGAUGUAUGCAUAAUUGGCGUGAUUUACGAAUCAAAUGCACAAAAAGCUGAUGAUUUUGUAUCAGUUUGGUUUAUCACACGUUUCAUAACAAGGAAGAUUCAAGCAGUAGUUACCUGGUAUCCCUUAUAUUUUAUCAACUCUUUUAACCUAUCAAGAAUGAAGAGGAAUCCAUCGUCAUCGAUGUAGCAGAGGUCCCCAGUUUUGAACCAUCCUUCGGAGUUCAGAAUUUCAGAGGUUGAUCUCUCGUCACCAAUGUAACCUACACUAAUGUAAUAAAUAGAAAUGACUUCAGCAUAAUAUUUAUCAAGCGCCACAAAUAUGUAGAGAUAGAGCUAGUGGGUCAGUUUAUGACAGUUCAAAGUAAAAUCCCCAAUUUGACAGACUAAAAUAACUUUUUCUUCUUUUUUUUACCUACACUAAUGUAAUAAAUAGAAAUGACUUCAGCAUAAUAUUUAUCAAGCGCCACAAAUAUGUAGAGAUAGAGCUAGUGGGUCAGUUUAUGACAGUUCAAAGUAAAAUCCCCAAUUUGACAGACUAAAAUAACUUUUUCUUUUUUUUUUUUUUUGAGAGAUAGGUAGCACGCUAGCCGUUUCGUUUAUUUUAUUUAGAAAUAAACUUAGCUAAAAAUGUGAAUCAACUAGGAUUCGACCUUGGGUCUGGAGUACCAACCACCAAACCCUUUGCCAAUUGCUCUACGGACGGUCGGUCAGACUAAAAUAACUUAAAUAAAAAAUAGUUCACAGCAGGUAUCAACUAAAUUAAUAAGAUUCGGGGAGUUUCCAUACGCUUUUACCAAAGUGACUAAACACUCUAAACUUGACUCAACAGCUGAAUUGUAUCUACGUCAAUACAAAAUUAAACAUACACACACACUAAAAUGGAAGUAAAGUUGCUUACCCUGCAUAAUUAAUGGUCCUCGAAUCCAAAGCUCCCCUCGAGCGCCUGGAGGCAAAGCAAUUCCAGUGCCCGAAUCGACAAUCUUUGCUUCGCAGCCCCACACGAGACGUCCGACAGAACCGAUACGUUGGCUUGCUUCCUCACCAUGAAACCGGAAAACACCGGUCGUUGUCUCGGUCAAUCCGUAUCCCUUCACACCCACUAGAAUUUAUCACUAUAAAGACUUAGAAUGAAAGUAAAAUCCAACCCGCGCUUUUGGUUUGGUUCGGCGGUUGCACAUGCUUUUUCGCACAGCUCUAGUUACUCUGGGAUGUUUGGCUCAGCCUAUUCGACUAGAAUAAUCAAACAGAGCUAGAAAAAGGAGUAGGACCGAUGGAUUACUCGUACAUAUGCCUAAUCCCGAAAAAGGAGGGAGCAAAGGGCGCCAACGACUUUAGACCUAUUAGUCUUAUUAACGGAGCACAGAAGAUCACUUCCAAAGUUCUCACUAAUAGGCUUGAGGGGGUGCUAAAAGAUAUUAUAUCACCUACUCAAACAGCAUUCCUAAAAGGUAGAUCGAUUCUGGACUCCUUCGUAACAGCAAGUGAGGUUGUUAAUUGGUGCUAUAAAACGCAGGGGGAAUGUGUAGGCAUAAAAGCUGACUUUGAGAAGGCUUACGACAGAGUAUGCUGGGGAUUUCUCCGAAAAAUCAUGAUAUGGCUGGGGGCAAAUCAGCGUUCGUGCGGUUGGAUUGACCAAUGUAUUGCCAACGCCAAAAUUGCUAUCCUUGUUAAUGGGGUUCCAUCCAAGUGGAUAAAAACCAAAAGAGGACUACGUCAAGGGGACCCGCUCUCUCCGUGCCUCUUUAUUCUGGUUGCGGAAGGUUUAGCGAGAUUGAUAAAUAAAGCGGUCAAAAGUCACUUGAUAAGAGGAGUGGGACCUAACAGCGAAUCUAAGGUUGCGUUUAUCCAGUAUGCUGAUGAUACAGUAUUCUUUUGCGAAGCACACAGCAAACAAGUACGGAACCUACUCUUUGUCUGGCAUAUUUUCGAGCGGUCAUCGGGGUUAAAGAUCAACAGGAGUAAGUCAGAGCUUUUUUAUUUAGGCAGGACGGCCCACCGGGGAGAGCGGUUUGCUCAGAUUUUAGGUUGUAAAUUGAGUUCUUUCCCGAUACGAUACCUUGGACUUCCCCUCAAGAAUAGUCGACUCAACAAAGCGGACUGGUGGCCUAUCAUUAGUAGAAUCGAGAAAAGGAUUGAAGGAUGGCAAGCAAACCUUUUGUCGGUCGGUGGAAGAUUGACACUAGUAAAUUCUGUCCUCUCAAAUCUAACUAUGUAUUUUUUUCUCGGUGUUGAAAGCGCCGAAAUGGGUCAUAAAGCGCAUAGAAGCACUUAGGAGGGCCUUCUUUUGGAAAGGAAGGAGCAGUGUGUCUGGCGGACAUUGUUUAGUGAAUUGGAAAACGGUUUGUCGAAGCAAAAAAGAGGGGGGCCUAGGAGUCAUGGCCCUUGAGACCAUGAACAUAGCCUUAUUAGCAAAGUGGCGGUGGAGAAUGUUAUCCGAUAACGGCUCGCAAUUGGGCAAUUUUAUUCGGAGUGCCUACUAUGUUAGAAGAACACCCCUUAGGGAAGGGGGUCUCUUUUCGACCUUCUUCCCAAUGGUGGCAGAGUGUGCUAAAGACAAGGGACAUCUUCAGGUGUGGUUUAUCUUUUACGAUAGGGGACGGCAACAAUGUCGGUUUCUGGACAGAUAAAUGGAUUGGUGAAAUGCCCCUGCAGUCACUCUUCCCUCGUAUCUUUAACGACAUAACAUCGCGAAUCCUUAAGGUCAGACAGUGCUUCGGGAGAAAUGGUUGGAGGUGGCACAAGAUUCUGCAAGGUUUCGCUCCGGAAUCUCAAAAUGAUAGUGCAUCAUUACUGGAGUUGAGGGAACUAGUAGAUACCCUCCUGUUGACGGAUAACAGAGACGUAGCCAGAUGGAGAUGGACUGCAACAGAAAUUUUCACAGUUAAAUCUCUGUAUACUUUCUUGCAGGAUGGCAGCGGACAUGAACGAAGGUUCGUUCAAUUGUGGAAGAUCAAAACGCCUCUGAAAGUUAAAAUCUUCGGGUGGCUAGUACUAAAGCAUAGGGUACUAACGAGAGAUAAUAUGGCCAUGAGGGGAUGGUCUGGAGAGUUGAGCUGAUCGUUCUGUUCAGAAGAUCCAGAGACAGUUGACCAUCUGUUUGCUGCAUGCAGUUUCUCACGAGACUUGUUCGGGUGCUUCAUGCCCAAUAAGCGCUUCGUCAAUACGUGUGCUUCAACCGACUUGAUCUGGAACACUUAUAGCGCUACGUGGGGUAAUGUACGGAGAAGGGAUCUAUCGACCAUUAUUACCGUGUGGUGGGCUGUGUGGUGGGAUAUUUGGUUGGAACGGAACAGGAGAAUAUUCGAAGAUAAGAAAACUCCACUGAGGCAACUAGUGUUGGACGUUCGAUCUUUUAGAAGGGUUUGGGAUCUACAUUGCAUCUAGUUUUUUCUUUUUUUUUUCUUUUUUUUUUCUUUUUUCCCUCCGGAAGUCUAGCUGCUUCAUCUAUGCUUAAUUCACCUCCCUAUUAAAUGAAGCGGUAGCAUGCUAUCUUUCUCUCACAGAAANGUUUAAAAAUAAAAAACUAUUACCUCCUCAACUAGUGAGGAUAUUUUGAAAUUGGCCCAUUACUCUUUUUUUCUUUACUUGAUUUUUUUUCGAAAUGAAAUAAUUUUAGUCGAUUAAAUCCAUAAAUAAUUUAUUUCGGUGCAACUAAAUUUAGAAAUUUUAUUGCAAAUAAUAUUGAAACAAAGUCACUAGAUUUAAUGACAAUUGUUUAAAGUCAAAAAAAUUAGAAGCUAAGAAAAUACAACUAAUAAAAGUAAAAAAAAAAAAAAAAAAAAAAAAAAAAGGGGCUAGAAUUUCCAAAUUUGAAGGAAAACAGAAUAAGACAACAGUAGUAACCUGGGUGAGGCGUGCAUUGGGAAAGCUCGCCAAGAACCGCCGGAUCAAAUCGGUCCCGAUCGGCGCCCCGCUGCAGGUCACCACGGCCAGCGAGCUCACGUCGCCCACCGAUGCCGCGCCCGCGCACCCAGCCUCUCGAAAUUUCACCAGCGCCAGCACGGCCGGCGGCGCCAAUGCGAGAUGCGUCAGCCGGAAGCGCGCGACGGCCUUCAGCGUCCGCUUGGCGUCGAACCUCUCCGUCUGAAUCACCGCCGUCUCCCCGACCGCCGCCGCCUUGAGGCAGAAAGCGAAGCCGUAGGCGUGGAAGAGCGGGACCGUCAGCAGCAUUCUAGCCGCCGGUGCAGCAGCAGCAGCCGACGCGGCCGCUGCCAGCGGCGCCGUGGCCGCUAUCAGGUUGCGGUGGGUGAGCAAAACGCCCUUCACCCGCCCCGUCGUCCCCGAGGAGUAGAGGAUCGCCGCGGAGUCCGAUUGGCGGAUCACAACGGCCUCCACUGUGGGAUAAGAUUCGGAGAUUUGCAAGAAGGAUCGGAAUCGGGGGGAGUCGAGGAGGAUGGUGGGGAGGUUGGACGGUAGCUUGUGGGCGGUGGAGGAGGUGCCAUUGGCGGCGUCGAUGAGAGCGGGGUGGGAGGGGAGGGGGGAAGAAGGGAGGAAGGAGAAGGCGAAGGAGGGGAAGGAGAGGGGGAGGGAAGGUGGAGGGAGGGGGACGGCGGGGCGGAGGCUGUGGAAGGUCGUCGUCGCCGCGCAGAAGCCGCUGCGAGGGUCGACGUCCGGCGGAGACUGUGGUGGUGGUGGUGGUGGUGCUUCGGCGGCCAUUGAUGGAGUUGAGCUUGAUUACGACGCAGAGGAUCAACGUCGACGGUGAAUUAUAGUAGUAGUGAUCAGCAGGAGAAUAGUGGCGCGAAUCUUGUCCUGCUCAGCGGGUGGUCCAUUUUAUUUUAUUUGAAAAAAUUAUAACACUAAUAAUCUCAUAAUAUUGAAUAAUAUAAAAGCAAGUAAGAGACUUAUAUAGUUUAUUUGUGACUUGUAACUAUUAAAUUAGUAAAUAAAUUUUAUUAUGUCAGGCUUUUUAUUUGAAUAAUUAUUUAAUACUUUUUAUUUGAAUAANGGGGAGAGGAUGAAGGCGACGUCGCCUUUGGACACGGCGCCGGAGGAGCGGAGCGCGGCGGCGAGGGAGCGGAUUUGAGAGAGCAGCUCCGGGUAGGAGAUGGCGUCGCCAUUGGCGGCGUCGAUGAGAGCGGGGUGGGAGGGGAGGGGGGAAGAAGGGAGGAAGGAGAAGGCGAAGGAGGGGAAGGAGAGGGGGAGGGAAGGGGGAGGGAGGGGGACGGUGGGGCGGAGGCUGUGGAAGGUCCUCGUCGCUGCGCAGAAGCCGCUGCGUGGGUCGACGUCCGGCGGAGACUGCGGUGGUGGUGCUGCUUCGGCCGCCAUGGGAGAGAAGAAUCAGACCAGCGGGGGGAUUCGCGGUUUCCGUACGACUGACGGGGCAAGGCAAAUUUUUAAAUACGUUGUUUUGCGCAUUUUUGUCACUUUAGUAUUUUAUAAUUUAAAAUAUAUUAAUUUAAUAUUUUAAAAUUUUUUUCGUGAGUCUUUCGUUAAUUUUUUAUUAAAUUAUAUAUCAAAAAUUUCAGAUCAUCCAUCUUUAAUUUAUCAAAUAUUCACUUCAAUAUCUUUACUUUUAGGGUGCGUUUGGUUCUCGCUAUCUUUUAAAGAUUCCUAGUAAUCCAAUGGAAAUAAAAAUAUAUGACGGUGUUUGGCUAAACGCACUAAGUAAUCUAGUUGGUAAUAUUGGAUUCACUUAGGAAUAAGAUUCACCCCAAAGUACUAAUCUCAUUCCCUUGAGGGAGGGUGGGUAUCCUCAUAUUAAUGGAUUGAGAUAAUCAUAAUAUGUCUAAUCUCUUUCUUUCUUUCUACCCGCCGGCUAAUUGAUAUUAUUUUUCUUUACACUCUAACCUUAUAUCUCUCUCUAAACUUAUUUUUCUCUCUAAAAUUCAACUUUUUUUUCUCUCUCUAAACUAAGCUUUCUCUCUCUCUUUUUCUAAAAUUUCAACUCUCUCACUCCCUCUAAUUUCGACUAUAUUUUUCUUUCUAUUUUUUUAAUUAUGCUCUCUCUCUCUAACUUAUACUCUCUCUCCCUUUUUUCUAAAAAGAUGUUGAAACUUUUGGUAACAUUAUCUAAAAUUAAUUAAAUAAAUAAAUUAAUUAAUUGUAUAUUUUUUGCAAUAUAAAAUAACAUGGCUAAUUAAUAUUACCGUGCGAACCAAACACAGGAAUUCUACAUUUUUAGUAAUAGAAUGAAUAGGAAUAAGAUUCUCAGAUAUCUUUUAUUCCUAGUAAUCUUUCAUAAUGCGAACCAAACGCACCCUUAAUUUUAUCACUAAUUUAACAAAAUAAAUUAAUAAAGUAAAAAAAUUUGAAACAAUAUAAGUGGUAUUUGGAGUUUUUCGAGGAACAAAGACCGCGGGUAUUUGAGCAGCAUGUGCGUGAUGAACGGGCAGCACGGAUUUCCUACAACCUGGGUUCUACGUUUUUUGCUGCUACCAAGGUACUUGGGAUUCUUCCAUGUUAGUCAUCCAAUAUGUCAAAAUAUUAUUUUUACUAUUCAAUAUUUGUUUUUUGUACGUCUACUAUAAUUUGAUUUUUAAAUUUAAAUAUAUUAUUUAUUUUUAUAUAUUUUAUUACGAUAUACACCGAAUUCAAAAUUUUAAAUCAAGUAGUGUUAACUGAUUCAAAUCAAAUAAAUUCAAAUUUUGGAUAGUUGGAAAUUUUGAAAAGUUAGAUAUAUGAUGCAAAAUAGUUCAUCGUGUAGAUAAAUUCGGUAUGUUUUGAUCUAUUUUAUUUGUUGCUACUUAGUUAGCAGCCCUUUUUUUUUUGUUUGCCACUGAAAACUGUCUGAUACUAUUAGAUUUUUAAAAAAAAGAAGUUAGGAAUGAAACAAUAAUCCUUUUGUUUUGUUUUGUUUUUUAUUAAACAGGGGUAUACCAAAAAGUAUAAUUUGAUAUUUCCAUUUUCAUAUUUAUGGUCUUUGCCAUACUACAAUAUGGCUUUGGAUGGCUUCGGAAGCUAAGUAAUCCAAUGGGAAACUUAGGCACUGAAGCAAAACGGAAAUUAACAUCAAUAUAAAUGUAGAAAUUAUGUAUCAAGAUAGUAAUGUAUACUUCACAAUUCUCAUUAAUCACCACACCAACCAUACAAGUCAUAGUCUAGAAACAGAGCCACAUAUUUGGUUUAUAAUUUCCCUUCUUAGUAUCUUCCCAGAUGGCGAUUUUGGUAUUCUGUCAACAAACAGAACCUUGCGUAUCUUCUUAUACGGCGCGACCUGUUAAAAAAAAUUAAAUGAAAACAUUCACUUCAUAUAUGUUGUGUGAUAAUCCAUAAUCUUGCUCGAAAUCUCUUCUUCCACAAAAUAUUAAUAUUUGAAAAAAUUUGGAGCGAAAUAUACCUGCUGAGCAACAUAAUCCAUUACUUCGGUUUCGCUGAUAUCGCAUCCUGGUUGUCUCACCACAAGUGCCACAGGUAUUUGACCAGCUUCUUCAUGAGGAUACCUAAAGCAAUGCGAAAAUACGAUGAUCGUAAGUAAGCAUACAACUGUUCUUGACAAAAUUUUUGUGCGUAUAAAAGUUUAUUUUUCACUUUAUUCAACUUCUGAUUACAGAGUUUAGAAACUCACGGUAUCACGGCCGCGUCGAGGAUCUUCGGAGAAGAUUGGAGCACGUGCUCCAACUCUGCAGGUGGAACCUGUGAUAGCAACCAAAUAAUGCCCAGUGAAACUAAAUUAUGUUAUCCAAAGAUAUUAAAGAAAAGAAGUGUUCUUUUUUGUUACUACUGAGCAAAAACUUUUCAUAGAGAUAAGAACAAGGACCUGGUACGCCUUGUAUUUGAUUAGCUCUUUAAGCCUAUCAACUACAUGAACAAAUCCAUCUUGAUCAAUGUAACAAAGAUCGCCCGUCUUCAACCACCCUUCGCUAUCAAAGGCUGAAGCAUUCGCUUCGUCGUCCCCGACGUAACCUAAGAAAAUAGAAUACGUAUGUAAUUCGGAUCAAAUGAAUAUCAACUCUUCAACCUAAUUUGCGUGUGUUCUCUUGUACUAUUUUUGCUUCAGUACUAAUAAUAAAACAAGUAAACUCAACAUCUGAAAUGUUACAAAGAAAUGAUUACUUCUAAAAUUUUCGCAUAAUUUCUGUAUAUUGAUCCAACACUUUUCGACUUAUAACACCGUCUCCGAAUCUAAUCCUACAUGCCUAACAAGAACAUUUAUCUCAUGAAUAAGGCAAAAAAAAAAUAGUAAGAAGGAAAAAUAAGAAAAAAGAGGUGUUACUUUUCUUCUUCUUUUUUUGAGAGAGAGAGAGAUAGGUAGCAUGCUAGCUACUUCGUUUAUUUCAUUUAGAAAUAAACUUAGCUAGAAAUAUAAAUCAACUAAGAUUCGAGCUUGGGACCUCGAACUAGCAUGUUAUAUUUUUUAUAUUACCUUUCAUGAGAGCCGGGCCUCGGACCCAAAGCUCUCCUUUUUGGCCAACUGACAGUAUAUUACCAGUGACAUGGUCUACGAUUUUCACUUCGACGUUCUGCGCAAGGCGACCGGCGGAUCUCAGAUGACAGCAUUCUUCGGGGUUGAUCAUCCUCGAUAUACCUCCGGCCUCUGUCGCACCAUAUCCCUAGCGCCCAAAAUAAAAAAAUGUAGGAGUCUGGAUAAGACAAAAUCAGCUUUACAAUAAGAUAAGAAAAUAGAAGCUGCAAUUUGAACUGUUUUUAGUGUCCCUAGCUUGGCACGAGGACACUGGAGGGACUCGAAUUGAAAAAGAAAUGUCAUGGGUUCAUCAAAUAGCACUAAAAUUACUAAAUUUUGAGUAUUCCAUUUCUAUCUUCAAAAUUAGUAACCAAAGAAGAUUUACUAAAUAAACCUUUCAACAGUAUAAAAUAGCUCUAUUUAAACAGUAUCAGGUCGGGACAAAAGAUGUCAUGUCAUUCAUUACAUGUCUAACACCACCCAACUUUUUCAAAAAAAAAAAAACAGUUGCAGUCAAAACAUAGUUGGCACCUGCCCAUCUUCUUCAUGCAACUACUAUUUUUUGAAAACUGCUUACUAAUAUGUGUGACUUGUUGAAAGGAGCUUUCGCUAUCCUUUUUCUUUUUUUUCCAUUUUGUUAUGCAAAGACAAAAUACCAGUGUUUACAAAUAGUGGCAAUCUCAAUUAUUAAUGCACACUGGGCCUCCUCAACUUAUUUGCUUGCUAAGCUGUGCACUGAUGUAUUGCUAAUCAAAGGGAGUUGCUGCGGAUAACUGUUUAUGAUAAAAAUUUGAUUAAACUCUCUCGAUGCGAAACUCAAAUAAUCGGUAGUAGAGCGACUACCGAAUUUUCAGCGAUUGAUGCCAGAGCAAGUUACAAAUCCUGAUCUCCAAAAAAAAAGAUUUCUACAUACUAUUCAUGUGUAGAUAAAUAUAUAAUAUUUUAAAUUUUACGUGCACAAAUUAAUUAAGAACUUUUAAAUUAUCAUUAUUUAAUGACUGGUAUAAUUUUUUUUUUUUAUAAAAAAGUUCUUUUUAGAUGUUUUUGAAAAAUUAUUUCUCUCUACUAAACUCUCAUGCUCAAACCAUAAAUGAAGUUUUGCUAUCAAUUUUCCUUUUCAAUCAAAUGGUUUAUUUAUGAAUUUUUAUUUAUUUUGAAAGGUAUACUAAUCCAUUAGUCACGGGGAUGGGAAAGAGUCACGGUAACACAAUCAAAGCAAUUGAUUAUGCAAAUCAAACAAUAGGAAUUUAUUUUUAAAAUUAAAGGAAGAACUCCUUAAUUGCCAUCGGAAUGCUAAAAGUGGUGUGACUUUUUUUGCUAUGAAAUUAAAAACUAAGCAAUCAUGUGAGACUUGCUUUUAUUAUCAAAUUAUAAAUGACUCUUUGAUGUGCCCCCACUCCCAACCCUAACUCUAUUAAAAAAAAAGUCAUAGGAGUUUCUGUAGCGGUUCUGUAAAGAAAAUUAAUAUUAAAAAAAAAUAAUUUUGAUAUUGACAGAUAGAAAACGUCGUAUUUAUUCAUGAUUUGAAUAUUUUUUUUUUUUACUCCAGCAAUAUUAAGAAUAAUUUUGGCAACAUUAAUUCUCUUCCGUAAAAAAAAAAAAAAACUUUUACCAAGGGUUUUGUUUAACUUUUCUUAUCACAUUUUUGUUCUGUUUGGUGUAAAAAAAUUAAUUUGGUAAAAAAGAACUUUUUUCAUAAUAAAUUUGUAAUAGAAUUAUAUUCUUACCCAGUUUGAUAAUUAAUGUACUGUUCCUACUCAUCUUAAAUUGUACGUAUAUGUAAAUCAAUUGGGUUGACCAUCACUGUCUCACAUCCAUAUUAUGCAGGAUUUUGUGAACAACUCCUGUUGGAUGCGUAUUGCUACAGGUUCCUUAAUAAAAUGUUAUCUAUGGCUUAAUAUAUAUUGUUAUUAUAUUAAUAAUAAUAUAUUCGCAUCAAUAAAUAAUUAAUGUAGACUAUAUGCCCCAUACCAAUAUAUAUCAUUAUCAAUCUUUAAAAUUAAUUUUUUUGGGAGAUUCAAAAUGUAUUUCUAGUCAGAGCAUGCCAGCACAUUAAUCCCGUUGCAGCAGCAGUACAACGUAAAUAGCACUGCUGACGUGUAGCGUACCUGCUGCAGCUCCACGCGUGGGAAGCGUGAUUGGAACCGCCGGGCCGCCGCCACGUGCAGCGGCGCCCCGCCGCACACGACUCGCCGGAGCGCCGGCAGGCCGUAGCGCGACGCCUCCGCCGUCAUCACCACCGUCGUCUCCGCCAGCGCCACCCCCUUCAGCGCGAAGAAGAACCCCAGGGAGUGGAACAUCGGCGCCCCCAGCAGGGUCACCUGCUGCACUAAAAUAUAAAAAUAUUAAAACACUGUUCGUUCGUUGAGAUAUUGUAUCAUAUGAUAUAACACUCGGUUAUUUAAUACUGUAGUAUCAGAGCAGAAGGUUUCUGAAAACUGGUAAUUGACGACCUGCGGUCCGUCGACAGGGCGCAGCGCGUGGAAUCCGGCGGCCAUGGCGAUGAAGCUGCGGUGCGGCAGCGCCGCCGCCUUCACCUGCCCCGUGGUGCCGGACGAGUACUGGAUGGCCGCCGUGUCCGACUGCAUGAUCUCGACGUCGGGAACGGGCGCAGAGUCGGCUUUCAAGAAGGAGCGGAAUCGGGGGGAGUCGAGGAGGACGGUGGGGAGGUCGGACGGGAGCUUGUGGGCGGUGGAGGAGGUGGCGAAGGCGACGGAGGGUCUCGAGAGGCCGACGAGGCGGGAGAUCUCCGGAGGGGUCGAAACAGGGUUCGCAGGGGAGACGACGACGCCGAGGGAGAGGAGAGCCA